rnacentral:rRNA from 1 species
GACGGAGGAUGCAAGUGUUAUCCGGAAUCACUGGGCGUAAAGCGUCUGUAGGUGGUUUAAAAAGUCCACUGUUAAAAAUUGAAGCUUAACUUCAAAGAUGCCGUGGAAACUUUUAAACUUGAGUAUGAUAGGGGUAGAGGGAAUUUCCAGUGGAGAGGUGAAAUGCGUAGAUAUUGGAAAGACCACCAAUGGCGAAGGCACUCUACUGGGCCAUUACUGACACUGAGAGACGAAAGCUAGGGGAGCGAAUGGG